AAACCGUUAAAAGGGAAGCGAAUGAAACCAGCAAUUUACCGUGUCGGAUUCAGCCGCCUGCGCUCGGGAAAGUGCGUGCUCGCGAUUUUUUUUCCUAAACGCGUCUCGUGCAAUUGCCCGAGAGCCGGCUGCGCACUUCCGUUAGGUCAGUGUCAGCAUCAGUUGGUCACCGGUUAGAAGGUUGCGACGAAGGUAGAUCCUGCGGGGUUGUUGAGCGUCGCAAACAAAUGACCCGAGGCUGACUGUGGUCUGUCGCAAUGCGCGCCUCYSUWSUASGUGGGCUGGUGCCCUGGUCCUGUUGACGCGGUUGUCGACCGCGGCGGACGGCUUUGCCGGUGCGUCCAAACCGCUGCCUGUCAACAGGUCGGGSUGCACACACCACGCGUUGACUAUGCUGACGAAAAUACGGUUUCAUCCGACCCGUCUUGAAACACGGACCAAGGAGUCUAACGUGUGCGCGAGUCUGUGGGUGAACGAAACCCGGUGGCGUAAUGAAAGUGAAGGGAACCUUAUCGUUGCUGAGGUGAGAAGCCCGGCCCGCGUGGCCGAGCCGCAUCAUCGACCGACCUGUUCUACCCUUAGGAAGGUUUGAGUAAGAGCGCAGCUGUUAGGACCCGAAAGAUGGUGAACUAUGCCUGAAUAGGGUGAAGCCAGCGG
rnacentral:rRNA from 1 species